CAAAUACCAAAAAGCAAAGAUUAAAAAUCUAGAGUAGAGUUUAGACUCUCAAAAAUACAAUAUUGAAAAUGCAGAGUUGCGGAAAAGAUGGCGGAGGAAUAGGACGGGAAGACUACUUUCUCCCUCACAAAUUCCUCAAAAGAACAUUUCAACGCUGAGCAAACUUCACAAAACAACUUCUGUAGGCUGGCAGAGGACAUCAGGUAACCAGAAAAGCAGACCAUUGUCUUCAAAAACAGGUUUCUGCUGAUAAAUUGGUUGGAGAUUUUAUUGAAGACUCCGUGCAAGAAGGAAUUCAUGAUCUGAGCCACGGGCAGCUUGCAGCACUGAAGCAUGGUCUUCAGGAUGAGGAGGACAUGCACCAGUGGACAAAGGAAGAAGACAUUCCCAAGGGAGAAACAAACAAGUACCUCGUGGAGGCCAGCGCCUUGUUUCCCAGGACUGUCUGACUCCUGAGCCCACUUUCCAUUCUGCCGGCCCUCUCAUUUGCCUGUCUCCUAUGAUGUCCUCCAAUUCUAC
ensembl:lncRNA